rnacentral:lncRNA from 1 species
GUCCUUUAGAAAUAAAUGUUUUACCUCUCAAGUGUCUUCAGAACAGAAGAUCAAGAGGAAAGGCUCUAUGCAGAGGGUUUCAGAAGAGAGAAGAUAUUUCAUCUGCAUCUCCCACUUCAGAACAAUACUGAAAGCGCAACAUUCAAGCUGCGAUCAGUAAUCAUGGACUGUCAUCAGAGCAUGUGCCUGGGAAGAAAAAGAACAAAAUAAUAAUAAAAAAAGCCAACAAGUAUGUAUCUUGCA